CUAUGGUGGUAAAAACAGAAACAAGAGGUCCAACAGGUAUGUGUAGGUGUGCGUGCUCAGUCCUGUUUGACUCUUCGUGACCCCAUGUACUGUAGCCCGCCAGGCUCCUUUGUCCGUGGGAUUUUCCAGGGAAGAAUACUGGCGUAGGUUGCUGUACCCUUCUCCUGGGGAUCUUCCUGACCCAGGGACUGAAUACAGCUGUCCUGUAUUGCAGGUGGAUUCUUUACUGCUGAGCCACCGGGGAAGAUCCCAGACAGAGAUGCAGCCUUCCUCAAAAGUAUCCUCAGGACUACUGACAGAUGAUGGCUGAUGAAACAGAAGUUUUGGUCACAAUCAACGUGCUGCCUUGAUUUUCUUUUAAAAUUUCCUGUGCCAGCAAUCAAGGUGGAUUCUUUACCAGCUGAGCUACCAAGGAAGCCCAAUCUUUCCUAUUCCCUACCAAAUGAAAGGAUAUUUGGCAUCUUCUGGAAGAGGAAUCAAGGGCAUGUCAAACAUGGGCCAACAAACAUUGUUGGUGCAAGUUCCUGUGCCCAACACAUGGUUUUCAUUGGUUCAACAUAAGUGGCUGCUCCAGACUUUGAACAUCUUCAGUGAAACCUUGUGAGAAGGUUUAACCUUUCUCUGGUCACGUAUCAAAACUCCAAGUGAAUUGGAACACUUAGAACAUAACUAUUCUGACAGGAGGCACUAUUUCAAGGUAUGAAAAUGAGUUUUGCAUGUAGUUUUGCAUUAUUGUUCCAGGACAUAUUAGAUUCAUAACACUGGACUUAAAGAAAAAAUCUAUAACUCUCAAACUUCUUCAUAGAAUGAGAAGUACAAAUGGUCUCUUCAAGGCUGUUGUGUUGUUUAAUCAGAUAGCAUCUGAGAUUCCUUGUUGUUUUGUUCUUAACAUGUUAAAAUGGUAUUUAACUAGUUUUGGCUAAUCUAUGACUAAUGUUUGGGCUUCCCAAGUGGGAAGAAUCUGCCUACCAAUGCAGGAGAUGUGGGUUUGAUUCCUGAGUCAGAAAGAUCCCCUGGACGAGGAAAUGGCAAUCCUCUCCAGUAUUUUUGCCUAGUGAAUCCCAUGGACAGAGGAGCCUGGUGGGCUACAAUCCACAGAGUUGCAAAGAGUCGGACACGACCAGACGCACACAUACACACCUGUCUGAUGUUAUAUAUAUAAUAGUAUAUAUGACCCUAUGUGC
rnacentral:lncRNA from 1 species